rnacentral:rRNA from 1 species
UACGAAGGGUGCAAGCGUUACUCGGAAUUAUUGGGCGUAAAGCGCGCGCAGGCGGUCCUUUAAGUCUGAUGUGAAAGCCCACGGCUCAACCGUGGAGGGUCAUUGGAAACUGGGGGACUUGAGUACAGAAGAGGAAAGCGGAAUUCCACGUGUAGCGGUGAAAUGCGUAGAGAUGUGGAGGAACACCAGUGGCGAAGGCGGCUUUCUGGUCUGUAACUGACGCUGAGGCGCGAAAGCCAGGGGAGCAAACGGG